UUAGUGUCGGCGAGUGAAGAGGGAAGAGCCCAAGAUUGAMAGCUGGCGCCUUCGGCGUCCGCAUUGUAAUCUCAAGAAGUGUUUUCCGCUUCGGACCAAGCCUAAGUCUCCUGGAAAGGAGCAUCAUAGAGGGUGAUAAUCCCGUACAUGGCUUGGAGCGCCCGAAGCUUUGUGAUACGCUUUCUAAGAGUCGAGUUGUUUGGGAAUGCAGCUCAAAAUGGGUGGUAAAUGCCAUCUAAGGCUAAAUAUUGGGGAGAGACCGAUAGCGAACAAGUACAGUGAUGGAAAGAUGAAAAGAACUUUGAMAAGAGAGUUARACAGUACGUGAAAUUGCCAAAAGGGAAGGGUAGGAGGUCAGAGAUGCUUCCUGGGAUUCAGCC
rnacentral:rRNA from 2 species